GGUUAAGCUACUAAGAGUGCAUGGUGGAUGCCUUGGCGUCCAAAGCCGUCGAAGGACGUGGCAUAGCUGCGAUAAGCUCCGGGAAGCCGCUAGCAGGCUGUGAUCCGGAGAUCUCCGAGACCGGGAAACCGACCGAGGAUUAUGCCUCGGUGCCGCGCAAGCGGUGGGAACGCAGGGAAGUGAAACAUCUCAGUACCUGCAGGAAAGUAAAGCAAACGCAGAGGGUGAAAGCCCCUUAGCCAAAAACGAACCGUCUUCGGUAGAAUUCCCAAGUAUCACCAGACACGUGGAACCUGGUGUGAAUCCGGGGGGACCACCCUCCAAGGCUAAGUACUCAUGGACGACCGAUAGUGCAAUAGUAGCGCGAGCGAAAGGCGAAAAGAACCCCGACAAGGGGAGUGAAAUAGAACCUGAAACCAUGCACUUACAAGCUGUCGAAGGCCUAUGGCCCCUCGGGGCAACGGCUGACGGCGUGCCUUUUGCAUAAUGAUCCGGGGAGUUAGUUUACCUGGCGAGGUUAAGGGCCUCAGGUCCGAAGCCGAAGGGAAACCGAGUGUGAAUAGCGCGAAAUCCAGUCAGGUGGACUAGACCCGAAGCCAAGCGAUCUAACCAUGGGCAGGUUGAAGCGGAUGUAACAGUCCGUGGAGGACCGAACAGGUAUGGGUUGAAAACCGUUCUGACGACCUGUGGUUAGGAGUGAAAGGCUAAUCAAGCUUGAAAAUAGCUGGUUCUCCCCGAAAUAGCUUUCGGGCUAGCCUCUGGUAAUAGUCGACGGGGGUAGAGCUACUGAAUGGGAUAGGGGUCCCUCGGGAUACCCUACCUAAUCAAACUCCGAAUACCGUUGACCGUAUCCAGGGAGUCAGUCUACGAGCGAUAAGGUUCGUGGACGAGAGGGAAACAGCCCAGAUCGCCAGCUAAGGUCCCUAAUGUACGCUAAGUGCAGUAAAGGAAGUGGGAUCUCUAAGACAGUCAGGAUGUUGGCUUAGAAGCAGCCAUCAUUUAAAGAGUGCGUAACAGCUCACUGAUCGAGAGGUCCCGCGCCGAAAAUGAACGGGGCUCAAGUGUACAACCGAAGCUGCGGAUUGGUACAGGUCGUUGACCGGUACCACUGGUAGGGGAGCGUUCUGGACGAAUGAAGGGUGACGGUAACGACGCCUGGACGUCCUAGAAGUGAUUAUCCCGGAACAAGUAGCGACAAAGCAAGUGAGAAUCUUGCUCGCCGCAAACCCAAGGUUUCCUGGGCACGGUAAAUCCGCCCAGGGUUAGUCGGAUCCUAAGGCGAGGCCGAAAGGCGUAGUCGAUGGACAACAGGUUAAUAUUCCUGUACCGGCUGGGAGCGUUAUUACCGAAGGGGGGAAGCGGGAGGAAAAGUCUUCGCACGACCAGUAGUGUGCGUCCAAGCCUGAGGAGGGCACGUAGGAAAAUCCGCGUGCAACAAUCCGAUGGUGACGGGGAGCGCCUUGUGCGCGAAGUGACUGGACUGACCGUCGAGAAAAACCUCUAGGGAGCGAACAGCUGUCCGUACCAAAACUGACACAGGUGGGUGAGGUGAAUAUCCUAAGGCGCUCGAGAGAACUGUUGUCAAGGAACUCGGCAAAUUGACCCCGUAACUUCGGGAUAAGGGGAACCCUCCAGGGUGUCAAAGCCCCAGAGGGUCGCAGAGAAUUGGCCCAACCGACUGUUUACUAAAAACACAGGUCUGUGCAAAGUCGUAACGACGAUGUAUACGGACUGACGCGUGCCCAAUGCUGGAAGGUUAAGAGGAGGGGUUAGCGCAAGCGAAGCUCCGAAUUGAAGCCCCAGUGAAUGGCGGCCGUAACUAUGACGGUCCUAAGGUAGCGAAGUUCCUUGUCGGGUAAGUUCCGACCCGCAUGAAUCGCGUAACGAGUUGGGCUCUGUCUCGACAGCAGACUCGGCGAACCUGUAGCCGUGGUGAAGAUGCCACGUUCCCGCGCCUAGACGGAAAGACCCCGUGAACCUUUACUAUAGCCUGAUAUUGAGGCUUGUCCUGACGUGCGUAGCAUAGGUGGGAGACGUCGAAGUUGAGCUCUCGGGCUCGACGGAGUCAUCAGUGAAAUACCACUCUCGUCAUGAUAGGUUCCUAACUCCACACCGUGAAUCCGGGUGGGGGACAGUGUCAGGUGGGUAGUUUGGCUGGGGCGGUCUCCUCCAAAAAGGUAACGGAGGAGCGCGAUGGUGCACUCAGUGUGGUCGGCAAUCACACGUCGAGCGUAAGGGUAUAAGUGCGCCUGACUGCAAGAGAGAUAGCUCGAGCAGGUACGAAAGUAGGUCCUAGUGAUCCGGCGGAUUCCGAGUGGAAGGGCCGUCGCUCAUCAGAUAAAAGGUACUCCGGGGAUAACAGGCUGAUCACCCCCAAGAGUUCAUAUCGACGGGGUGGUUUGGCACCUCGAUGUCGGCUCAUCGCAUCCUGGGGCUGAAGGAGGUCCCAAGGGUUUGGCUGUUCGCCAAUUAAAGCGGUACGCGAGCUGGGUUUAGACCGUCGUGAGACAGGUCGGUCCCUAUCUGGCGUGGGUGUAGGAUGAUUGAGGAGCCUUCUCCCUAGUACGAGAGGAUUGGGAGGGACGGUCCUCUGGUGCUCCAGUUGUCACGCUAGUGGCACAGCUGGGUAGCUAUGACCGGAACGGAUAAGCGCUGAAUGCAUCUAAGCGCGAAGCCUUCUCCUAGACGAGUCAUCCCAAACAGUUCCCUGGUAGACUACCAGGUUGAUAGGCCGGCGGUGUAAGCGUGGUAACACGUUUAGCUUACCGGUACUAAUAGAACGAUCGGCUUAACCAC
rnacentral:rRNA from 1 species